AAACUUCCAUUGAUGACAUUUAUUAAAGUUGGUCGUUAUAUCCCAUCUAACUACAACGUGAUUGGUUACAAGGGUCGGUGCCUUAAAGGUAUUUUAAUUGGAAAAACAAGUAAAAAAAUCCUAAAAGAAUAAAAACAACCACAAAAAUAACUAAAACAAAAAACAAGCAGUAAAGAAACCCCUUUCUCGAUCUGUAGAAAUGAAAUGGCCUUACAAAUUCUUCCACCUCACCUAUCAUCAGUUAUUGGAUCGAGCUUCCGACCUUCCCACAUCAUCGAAAAUGGCACAUGUCUUAUUAAACCCAAUUCGCUCCUUUUGAUUUGUCGCCAUCGGAGUCAAAAACUGAACAAAUCCUCCUGUAGCAAGAAAACCCAUCUCACCUUGCACCUUGCAUGGCUUCUCUGUCCCUCUCCACCUCCGCUUCCAUAGCCCUUGGUGCCUCAUCUAUCAAAAACAUGCACUUCUAGCUCAUGUAGGAUUUGGUUUUGUUAUUGGGUAGUCUCUGAACACGUGCUCGACCGACUCCUCAGCCCUCCGACAGAUAGGACAAUAGCUCAGCACAACAAUUCUCCUCACCUGAAGAUUACCAAGAUCAGUAAGAAAAUAAUUAUUAGCAAUCUUCUAACAUGUAACUUCGAUUUUGCUAGCAACAUCUGGGCUCCACAAGUUUUUUUGUAGAAAGCCUUUAGCAUUGUAUUUUGAUUUGUUGAAUCUUUUGUUGUUGUAUCA